rnacentral:pre_miRNA from 1 species
UUAACUCAAAUUUGUAUGCAGUUGGAACGUUUGCCUACGUUUGCCGCUAGGGGCGUUGUUUCAUCUGCAAAUUCUAUGUA